GACGAACGCUGGCGGCGUGCUUAACACAUGCAAGUCGAACGCUGAAGCUCAGCUUUUGUUGGGUGGAUGAGUGGCGAACGGGUGAGUAACACGUGAGUAACCUGCCCCCUUCUUUGGGAUAACGCCCGGAAACGGGUGCUAAUACUGGAUAUUCACUGUUCUUCGCCUUGGUGUUGGUGUAAAGGGUUUUUCUGGUGUGGGAUGGGCUAGCGUCCUAUCAGCUUGUUGGUGGGGUUAUGGCCUACCAAGGCUUUGACGGGUAGCCGGCCUGAGAGGGUGACCGGUAACAUAGGGACGGUGAUAAGGCCCAGAGUACUACGGGAGGCAGAAGUGGGGAAUAUUGCAGAAUGGGCGAAAGCCUGAUGCAGCGACGCCGCGUGAGGGAUGGAGGCCGUCGGGUUGUGAACCUCUUGCGCUCAUGGUGAGGCCGCAACAAUGGUUGUGGUGAGGGUAGUGGGUAAAGAAGCGCCGGCUAACUACGUG
rnacentral:rRNA from 1 species